CUAGUUCAACGAGAACCCGCUUGGUUCGCAGCGAGCGCAUAGCGCCGGAGCUCAGGAGCUUGGCUUCAAAACAGGGGCAUCGCGCAUUCCAUGUAUUGAAUAUGGCGGUUUACUAUGCACCGUCAACCUCAAUACGAAAACGUACCCAGGACAUCUCGAUGGGCAUCUCGGUUCCCUCGGUCGACGCAGUACGCCCGUUCUCGGUCACCCGGACCCAUCCACAGGUCGGCGUCGACGUGGACCGUAGUUCAUCAAGGGUACCCAGUUUCUUGGGCGUCACAUAGCCGGUGGUCGGCGCAGCCACGCCUCCUUAGGACUGCUGAUCUGGCCUCUGCCCCACCACCGUUCAGGGGACUCACCAUGUCAGAGCGGAACCCAGCUGAUCCUCUUCAGCCUUGGUCACCCGAAGAGGAAAGCAAGUUAUGCCCCGUCUGUCAGGUACCUGAGCUGCACCGAGCAACUCACCGGCGCGGCAACCUGCACCGAUCUCGUGUUGAGCAGGCCCACCGCCCUGAGACGAUCGACGUGGCCACCGCCCUCUCGACCCUCCGUCGGCUCCGUCCGGAGCUGCUACGCGAGACCGAGGGGCAACCCAGACAACCCUCUCCUCCCCCCGCCGGUGACGAUGACCUCAUCGACCUGGACCUGGACGCAUAAUCGUGAUUGUCUUCCACUGUGUACAUACUUUUGGGAUGGGGGAAAUGUGGGCACUCUUCCAUGUAUAUUGGCAACAUGUCGAUAGAGGGCGCAGUCCUCAUCGGUCCGCUCUUCGGGAAGGGGGGCGUGGUGGUGCUUUAAGGGAAACGGAUUUAAGGAGCAGAAGGAAGAAGGUGCGGGGAGGCUCUCCUUGGUGGAUGGACCCGUGUAAACUGCUGAGGCACGGAGGUAAAUAAAACUUGGAUGCAUUGA